UACGUAGGCAGCGAGCGUUGUUCGGAGUUACUGGGCGUAAAGGGUGUGUAGGCGGUUUUCUAAGUUUGGUGUGAAAUCCCUCGGCUUAACCGAGGAACUGCCCUCCAAACUGCUUGGCUUGAGUCCGGGAGAGGUGAGUGGAAUUCCCAGUGUAGCGGUGAAAUGCGUAGAUAUUGGGAGGAACACCAGUGGCGAAGGCGGCUCACUGGACCGGAACUGACGCUGAGGCGCGAAAGCGUGGGGAGCAAACGGG
rnacentral:rRNA from 1 species